rnacentral:lncRNA from 1 species
UCCCUUCGGUGCCACAUCCUGAAGCCCCAUGCGGCCGCCUCCCAUUCCCAAAUCCCCAUUCUCUUCUCUGUUUUCCUCAAGUCCAACGCUCGUGCUGAGUUCUCUUGGCAGCAGCGAUUCCGGCCGCACGAUGGAGAGCAGAGGUGCAGCAGAAGAGGUGGGUGGUCGUCAGGCAAGAUAGGUGGUGACGGGGAGGUGAUUCGUGAGUCAAAUCGGGCGAUACUGGCGGCGCGGAGUAACCCGCGAUUUCGUCGCUGCGCGGCUCCACCAGCGAGUUGAUAGGGAGGGGGACGUUGGGGCUUCUGCAUGUCGCGGGGCGUGGUGCUGCAGGCCACGAGAAGUUGAUUCGUGACUCGAAUCGGGGCACAGAGGCUCCUUGGUGAGUCCUGUCGCGUGCGAUUUGCUGGAGGUGGGGUUUGCAGGAGCGGCACGGAGCGGCUCUGCGGGGGCGGUGGAGUAAGCGUCGGACGGGAGAAGCUGUCAGCUCAUCGUCGAAUUCGCCAUGGGGGAGCGAGCUCCACCAGGCAGUCAAUUAGGGGCCGCGGGGGCUUCUGCAUGUCGAGCAAGGUGGGGGGUCGCGGAGGGGUUUCGCGUGUUGAAUCGAGGCUGCAGGCCACAUCGCGCAUUGCCGACGAAUGAGCACGACGAGCACAUCGAGCCUCUACUGUUGCAUCAAGUUUUCACGGUUAGUUCCUUUUCACAUCCUCCCCCAAAUCCCCUGAUCGAUCCUACUUUUUCCUGUCGAUUUUUGGGGAUUCAGGUUUGCGCCAUGAUUCGAUUCGCUAUGCUUUGCAUCAGACUAGGUUAAUUUGAUGAGGGAUAAGUAAUUUUUGCAUCUAAAAUUGCUUGCUAUUUUUAGCUUUUUCAUGGGGGUGCUGUGCAGGUUUGCAUGCAAAUGUAGCCGAAUUAUAGCUGUUGCAAUUCUUCGUGGCGAGGACUGUGCGUUUGUCCGUGUGUUUAGUAUGUUGCUUCCUUCAGUAAUUGCCCUACCACAAGCAUAUUCCUAUUUUAGUUUGUUGCUUAUUUUGUGAGAAUGCCACUUUCCUUUCAGUAAUCACGUGGUGAGUGAACCUUCGAGUGUAACCUAUGUCAUCGUUGGUUCGUUUUUUUGCUAAACUCCGGCUGUGUAGAUGUAUGUGUCUGCCAACAUUUUUGGAGCCACUGUAUUGUUUUUGGUCCAUACAGCAGUCACUUUUGGAGUCCGAAAAAUGGGCCUAAUUAGGUGGCUCAUCUUUUUGCGUUGCAGAUAUCAUGAAUGCAAUCGAUGAUGAAGCAUAUGGGGGAGCAGCUGAAGAAAAUAAAUCUGGGGAUUUAAUUCUUCGCCGCAGUAGACGAAAAUCACAUUGGGGUAAAAGGUUUGUUGUCUGAAAAUGUAGGAGGAAUUGAUCCACGGGUUCACAACAUGCAGCAGGUGUGGUUUUUGCUCCCCCAAUAGUCGCCCCCGCUAAUCAUCGCUUUUUUCACAUGUUUUCUAGGAUGCUUCAUUGCCCGCCUGCUCCGAGAAUACUGAGAUCCAGAUUAGGCACCCUACUAAGAUGCAACGUAGGCGCCCCGGAGGCACAUGGGAAGACGGUGAUCCCCAUCUUUUCAUUUUCUUGACUCAAUCCAUGUAUGCACUGGGUUUUUAAUAUACUCGCUCAUACCAUGCUCUAUAGUUGCCACGUAUCAAUAUAGGUUAUUUUUUACCUAGCCUUUUAUUAAUUAGUUGCUUAUGUAUAUGUUUAGAUCUACCUAUUUUAGUCGCAGUUUUCUAACAAUAUGCUUGACCAUGCCCAGGUCUGAAGUUGCUUUUUAACUUAGCUUGGGUAGUUUGAUUUUAAUUAUUAGCCGCUCACACACGGUCUUAUAGUCGCUUCCUUCGUUUUAAUAUAGGUGGCAGUAAGCUAACAAAGGGGCAUAUCUCUACAAAUAUAGUUGCUUUUUUAAUGCAACUUUGUGUUUUAGAUUACUUCUUAGGACUUUUCUUAAUUAGUUGCUUAUACAUAUGUUUAGCUUUAUCUUUGCCGCUUUUUCCUCUCAAUAUACCUGCUCACACACACUCACAUUCUGAAGUGCUUUUUAACUUAGGUAAUGUAGCUGCUUCUCAUUAUUUAGUCACUCACGCAACGCCUCAUAGUUGCUUCUUUUUAAUAUAGGUGGCAGCAAGCAAUAUAGGGGGGCAUGCCACAGCUAAUAUAGUUGUUUUUUAUAAUGCAACUUCAUGUUCUAGGUUACUUCCUAGGACCUUUUCUUGAUUAGUUGCUUAUGCAUAUGUUUAGCUUUAUCAUUGUCACUUUUUUCUUUCUCAAUAUAUCUGCAAACACCCCCUUCCUGCCCUGAAGUUGCCUUUUAACUUAGGUGAUGUAGGUGCUUUUAAUUAAUCAGUUUCUCACACAAUUUCUUAUAGUUGAUUCUCUUUGUCCCUCUUUCUUUUGUCAAUAUGCUUGACCUAACCACGCCACAUAUGUGAAAUUAGUUUCUUGUUUUUUUUUUCCUUUUUUCUUGCUUUAUCCAUUGGUGUAAUUUUCCUACUUGCUCAGACUUGACAUAUAUAGCUGCUUAAAUAUACAUGAUUCAUCAAGCUAAUACACAUGCUUUGGGGCAUGAUGCAGCAACCUAAUACACAAUUAGUCACUGAUCUAUAUAUUCAGAAUUCAUUUAGUAAGUGCAACUUUAUUUUAGGUUAGUAUAUUUUUUCUGGAACCUUUUGCUAAGUAGUCACUUAUCUAUAUAUUCAGAUUUAGGAUGUCACUUUUACUUGUCAAUAUAAUCAUCCACACCUGAUGUACAGUUGCUUUUUUAAAACUUAGCUAUAUAGUUGCUUUUUAAUUUAUUAGUUGCUUUAGAAAUUCUCAUAUUUGUUUAGACUUAUGUUUGUCGUUCUUUCAUGUUUUCUUUUAUCCAUUGCGACACAACUGAUUUGAUAGUUGCGUUUCUUUUUUAGAAACACAAGGUUCGUAAAGACAGGGCCUUACCUGCUAUGCUCUUCAAACUCAAGGAUGCGGAUGACAAUGUGAAGCAAUAGUAGGUACACUACAAGGAGACAGAAGCUUUUUGCCUACAUGAACAUGAGCUUGGCAAGUUUCAGGAUGCGGCACUACAGUGUUCUCAAGGAUGUGUUGUUUCUUUUUCAAGCUGGUGAAUCGUGUUUGUGUUUCCCUUGGGAAAUGAACCAGGAGGGGUACUCCAUGGGAGUAUGCAAGUAGGUAAUACCUGCUUACAUUGUCUCAAUAGAGUUGCAUAAAUAUUGUUGCCUACAACCUGAUAUAUAGUUGCCUACACUAAAUGUGCACUACUUGCUUAAUUUUUGUGUGGUUAGUAACGUACGACAACCUGCAAAUUACAUCUUUUUUGUGUUGCUUUGUUUCUUCAACCAGGUGCUUUUGCCAGGGAUUUGUAUAGAUGACGGAAGCAAUGGAAGGAAAAAUAGAAGAUUGACUUACAGGGAAGCAAAAUAAAAGAUUGACUAACAGAUUCAAGCAGUGUUCAAUGUUUUGACCUUUUUGCCUAAGAGAAAGUAGUUAGAGACAAAACAAUCAUCUCAUGUGGCUGCAGCAUGUGUUUUUGUGACAGUCUAUGUAACGUACUGCUUGUAUCCGUUAGUUUCUGGCUAAUGAUUUGUUUGGAAGUGACAGUUUGGAGUUGCUUUUGGUUUGUUUAUAGCUGACAAUUUUGAUUACCCUAGUGUUGAAAAUAGUUGCUUUUGGUUUGUUUAUAGUGACAAUUUAGAGGGAGCUUUUUUGCUUUGCCUUUUGCCAUUUUUGCUUGCCUGAACUUAGAGCUUGCCAACUUU